rnacentral:rRNA from 1 species
ACUCCUACGGGAGGCAGCAGUAGGGAAUAUUGGACAAUGGGGGGAACCCUGAUCCAGCCAUGCCGCGUGAGGGAAGAAGGUCCUCUGGAUUGUAAACCUCUUUUGGCGGGGGACAAACCUGCACUAUACGUGCAGCUGAGGGUACCCGCAGAAUAAGCACCGGCUAACUCCGUGCCAGCAGCCGCGGUAAU